AGGUGAUUAGGCGGGACAUGGAACAGUUACAGCUCACCGAGGACAUGACCCUAGAUAGGAAGGUCUGGAAGACGCGAAUUACGGCAGAGGAUUAGGGCACUCUGUUUUAUAUUCCUUAUGGGUGCCGUAUCUAUGUUAUGUCAUCGGCUUCUGUGCUGUACUAUGUGUUUGUGUGAUAUCUCGUGACUUGAGCCGGGGGUC
rnacentral:lncRNA from 1 species